AUUGAACGCUGGCGGCAUGCCUUACACAUGCAAGUCGAACGGCAGCACGGGAGCAAUUCCUGGUGGCGAGUGGCGAACGGGUGAGUAAUAUAUCGGAACGUGCCCAGUCGUGGGGGAUAACGUAGCGAAAGCUACGCUAAUACCGCAUACGAUCUAUGGGAUGAAAGCGGGGGAUCGCAAGACCUCGCGCGAUUGGAGCGGCCGAUAUCAGAUUAGGUAGUUAGGUGAGGUAAAGGCGUCACCAAGCCGACGAUCUGUAGCUGGUCUGAGAGGACGACCAGCCACACU
rnacentral:rRNA from 1 species